GUUUUGUACAUUAUGUCUUGAGAAACUUGAGAUGGCAAAGAUAGGGAUAGGUCUGGUACCUGCUGAGAGGUUGUAUCAAAUUGAUUUAAUGCUGAUGUCAUUUUAUCAGAGUUAUUAAUUACAUCCUUAUGCUUAGAUAAUUGGUAAAAAGAUUUUGAACAGCUGGUUUCAAAUUUCUGAUAAACUAAAUCCUUAAUACAAUAGAG
rnacentral:lncRNA from 1 species